rnacentral:tRNA from 1 species
GUCACCGUGCCCGAGUGGUUUAAGGGGAAAGACUUGAAUCAAUUGUCAGGUAUCUGUUGGCUUCGGCCGCGCAAGUUCGAGUCUUGUCGGUGACG